rnacentral:piRNA from 1 species
UUGAUGGAAAUGGGCACUAUUCUUGGCCU